GAUGAACGCUGGCGGCGUGCUUAACACAUGCAAGUCGAACGAUGAAGCCCAGCUUGCUGGGUGGAUUAGUGGCGAACGGGUGAGUAACACGUGAGUAACCUGCCCUUAACUCUGGGAUAAGCCUGGGAAACUGGGUCUAAUACCGGAUAGGAGCGUCCACCGCAUGGUGGGUGUUGGAAAGAUUUAUCGGUUUUGGAUGGACUCGCGGCCUAUCAGCUUGUUGGUGAGGUAAUGGCUCACCAAGGCGACGACGGGUAGCCGGCCUGAGAGGGUGACCGGCCACACUGGGACUGAGACACGGCCAGACUCCUAGGGGAGGCAGCAGUGGGGAAUAUUGCACAAUGGGCGCAAGCCUGAUGCAGCGACGCCGCGUGAGGGAUGACGGCCUUCGGGUUGUAAACCUCUUUCAGUAGGGAAGAAGCGAAAGUGACGGUACCUGCAGAAGAAGCACCGGCUAACUACGUGCCAGCAGCCGCGGUAAUACGUAGGGUGCGAGCGUUAUCCGGAAUUAUUGGGCGUAAAGAGCUCGUAGGCGGUUUGUCGCGUCUGUCGUGAAAGUCCGGGGCUUAACCCCGGAUCUGCGGUGGGUACGGGCAGACUAGAGUGCAGUAGGGGAGACUGGAAUCCCUGGUGUAGCGGUGGAAUGCGCAGAUAUCAGGAGGAACACCGAUGGCGAAGGCAGGUCUCUGGGCUGUAACUGACGCUGAGGAGCGAAAGCAUGGGGAGCGAACAGGAUUAGAUACCCUGGUAGUCCAUGCCGUAAACGUUGGGCACUAGGUGUGGGGACCAUUCCACGGUUUCCGCGCCGCAGCUAACGCAUUAAGUGCCCCGCCUGGGGAGUACGGCCGCAAGGCUAAAACUCAAAGGAAUUGACGGGGGCCCGCACAAGCGGCGGAGCAUGCGGAUUAAUUCGAUGCAACGCGAAGAACCUUACCAAGGCUUGACAUGUUCUCGAUCGCCGUAGAGAUACGGUUUCCCCUUUGGGGCGGGUUCACAGGUGGUGCAUGGUUGUCGUCAGCUCGUGUCGUGAGAUGUUGGGUUAAGUCCCGCAACGAGCGCAACCCUCGUUCCAUGUUGCCAGCACGUAAUGGUGGGGACUCAUGGGAGACUGCCGGGGUCAACUCGGAGGAAGGUGAGGACGACGUCAAAUCAUCAUGCCCCUUAUGUCUUGGGCUUCACGCAUGCUACAAUGGCCGGUACAAUGGGUUGCGAUACUGUGAGGUGGAGCUAAUCCCAAAAAGCCGGUCUCAGUUCGGAUUGGGGUCUGCAACUCGACCCCAUGAAGUCGGAGUCGCUAGUAAUCGCAGAUCAGCAACGCUGCGGUGAAUACGUUCCCGGGCCU
rnacentral:rRNA from 1 species